rnacentral:rRNA from 1 species
UACGAAGGGUGCAAACGUUGCUCGGAAUUAUUGGGCGUAAAACGCACGUAGGCGGCUUAGCAAGUUGGAUGUGAAAGCCCUCGGCUUAACCAAGGAAGUGCAUCCAAAACUGCUGAGCUUGAGUAGUUAAGAGGAUCGCGGAAUUCCCGGUGUAGAGGUGAAAUUCGUAGAUAUCGGGAGGAACACCAGUGGCGAAGGCGGCGAUCUGGGAACAUACUGACGCUGAGGCGCGAAAGCGUGGGGAGCGAACAGG